AUCUGACAUGCUUGAUUUUAUGCAAUUGUAUGUGCUAUUAAAAUAUUAAAGUGUAUAUACAGGUGUAAAGGCAUGAAACAAUGUGCUUCUAUCUAUAUUCUUUGUGUUUAUAUACACUAGAGUCUGUGUUUAUUAUAGUAUGCAUAAUCUAGGGUGCCAGUAGAAGCUAGCCUAGGGGUACCAGAAGCUCAGGAUACUGUGGGCAACUUAAUAUCUGGUAAUAUGAUUUCUACCUAGAUUUCUGACUGACAUGUUGAAUUGAGGAUUCUUGAACCACUAGAAAUAGGAUUGUACUUCUUGAAUGUUGGGUACCAAUCACAAGUGUAGUCAAGUGUAGGUAUAAGCAAAGAAUCUAGAUUAUAGACUUUAUAGGGUUGCACUGGAUCUCAUUAUACAGGCCAGAACUGAGAAAGUCACACAUGCUAGUCAGACAUCAAGUCAGAAACAAUUUAAUUGGUAGAUAAUGUCACUUCCAGUCCAUGCAGGUGGAUUUAUUUGGGGUUUUGUUCAUUUCAGUCCUCUCUCUGUGCACCCCUGUAUGAUGCAACUACCUGAAACUAAGAAAUCAAUGAACUUCAACAUUUCAGGUGAAAGACCUAUAGUAUUAUUUUUCAGGUAGUUGCAUGAUACAUUGAAGCCUUUAAAUAGUGUGGUGGCUUAAGCUGCUUUUCUCAUUCCCUUUCUUCACUUUCUUACUCUUUUGUCUCCAGUGAAAACUUUAUUUUACAACAUUUUAAUUACAUAAUCUCUUUUUGGUCUAAUUGCAGAAUUAUUUGAUGGUGAGACAGUUCAUAGUUCAACCUCUUUAUUAAAGAAUAAUCAAUUAUCAAUUAUUAGAAAUAAUUAAUUUUGUUAGCAGUGAUAAAACUAUCCAGACAAGUUAUUAUUAUUAUGACUUUGUAGCCAGAUGGGUAUGAUUUUGCUUUGGCUGUUCAGUAUUUUGAUCCAUUGUGAUAUGUCUUGUGGUACCUGUGAAUGACUUUACCUGCAAAAUAAUAAAUGAAUGUAACAUUACAUUAAGAUACAUCCUUACACUGCAAUAUAAUUAUGUAAAUAUAGAUGUUCAGUGUGAAGAAUAUGGUCUUUGACACUCUUUGUAUAUAAUAAACAUGCUAUUGUGAAAUGGAAAUGAUCAAAUAAAGUUAUUUCUGCAACAGCCCUUGCAUUCAAACACCUUAUUUGUAUUUUUCUUGUUCAUGCUUGAGCAUCAGCCUCAGGAUAAGCAAAUUCCAUUGGAUUUGUGAGAGCACUUGAACUAUAUUGGGUCAUUACAUGAAUUACAGAAA